ACACGACCAGACACUCCGAAGCAAAAUUGGAAUAAAAAGUGUUCGUGAGCGAUUUACCGCCAGUUAUCGAAUAUUGAAAGACCCCUAGGUAAUAAUAAAAAUAUAUUUUACAAGCAUCACUGCUGUGGUUGCUACGAAAUAGUCGCCAUGCACGGCAUAAUAAACAAACAGGAAUGUACCAGUUAUUAUGGAGAUAACACUAUGAGGAUGUGAUGGUGAUCUAUCAAAAUGGAACAUAUCCGCCUAUAUUUACCACUGAAUUUUUCUGAAACAUUUUCUACGUAUCUUUCAACAAUAUUUGAAUGAUAGGAUAAUGUCCCUGUCAAGCCGCCCACUGACUGUCUCUGCUUCUACAGGCGUUUAAAAAGAGAUUCAUUAUAAGAAUCAAGCACCAUCUGCCUAAUGAUAAUCGGUAGCAAAACAAAUUUUCUCACGACCAACAAAGCACGCUCAAGAACUAUUUACUUACAACACGACUUGCUGUAAUACGAGCACAAUAAAUAUAGAUUUCAUCAUU